AGAGUUUGAUCCUGGCUCAGAACGAACGUUAGCGGCGCGCCUAACACAUGCAAGUCGAACGCGAGAGGGGCAACUCUCUUGAGUGGCGCACGGGUGAGUAACACGUAGGUAAUCUCCCCCCGAGUGGUGGAUAACCUUCCGAAAGGAGGGCUAAUACAGCAUGAGACCACGGCUCCGAAAGGGGCUGAGGUCAAAGCGGA
rnacentral:rRNA from 1 species